CCUUCGAUAGCUCAGUUGGUAGAGCGGUGGACUGUAGAUCAAGAAUAUUGAUGGUAAAUAGUAAUACAAAGGUCGCUGGUUCAAAUCCGGCUCGAAGGA
rnacentral:tRNA from 2 species